rnacentral:rRNA from 1 species
UGAGGAAUAUUGGUCAAUGGGCGAGAGCCUGAACCAGCCAAGUAGCGUGAAGGAUGACGGCCCUACGGGUUGUAAACUUCUUUUGUGCGGGAAUAAAGGAACCUACGUGUAGGUUUUUGCAUGUACCGUAACGAAUAAGCAUCGGCUAACUCCGUGCCAGCAGCCGCGGUAAUACGGAGGAUGCGAGCGUUAUCCGGAUUUAUUGGGUUUAAAGGGAGCGUAGACGGGUUUUUAAGUCAGCUGUGAAAGUUUGGGGCUCAACCUUAAAAUUGCAGUUGAAACUGGAGACCUUGAGUACGGUUGAGGCAGGCGGAAUUCGUGGUGUAGCGGUGAAAUGCUUAGAUAUCACGAAGAACCCCGAUUGCGAAGGCAGCCUGCUAAGCCGCCACUGACGUUGAGGCUCGAAAGUGCGGGUAUCAAACAGGAUUAGAUACCCUGGUAGUCCGCACGGUAAACGAUGGAUACUCGCUGUUGGCGAUAGACGGUCAGCGGCCAAGCGAAAGCGUUAAGUAUCCCACCUGGGGAGUACGCCGGCAACGGUGAAACUCAAAGGAAUUGACGGGGGCCCGCACAAGCGGAGGAACAUGUGGUUUAAUUCGAUGAUACGCGAGGAACCUUACCCGGGCUUGAACUGCAGUGGAAUUAUCCGGAAACGGAUAAGCGAGCAAUCGCCGCUGUGGAGGUGCUGCAUGGUUGUCGUCAGCUCGUGCCGUGAGGUGUCGGCUUAAGUGCCAUAACGAGCGCAACCCUUGCUGCCAGUUACUAACAGGUCAUGCUGAGGACUCUGGCAGGACUGCCAUCGUAAGAUGCGAGGAAGGUGGGGAUGACGUCAAAUCAGCACGGCCCUUACGUCCGGGGCUACACACGUGUUACAAUGGGGAGUACAGAGGGCAGCUACCGGGCGACCGGAUGCGAAUCCCGAAAGCUCCUCUCAGUUCGGACUGGAGUCUGCAACCCGACUCCACGAAGCUGGAUUCGCUAGUAAUCGCGCAUCAGCCACGGCGCGGUGAAUACGUUCCC